rnacentral:rRNA from 1 species
UGCCAGCCGCCGCGGUAAUACGGAGAGGGCAAGCGUUGUUCGGAAUCACUGGGCAUAAAGCGCACGCAGGCGGAUUGGAAAGUCGGUUGUGAAAGCCCGGGGCUCAACUCCGGAACUGCUUCCGAAACUUCCAGUCUAGAGGAUGAGAGGGGAGAGUGGAACUUCUGGUGGAGCGGUGAAAUGCGUAGAGAUCAGAAGGAACACCGGUGGCGAAAGCGACUCUCUGGCUCAUUUCUGACGCUCAGGUGCGAAAGCUAGGGGAGCGAACGGGAUUAGAUA